GACAGAGGGUGCGAACGUUGUUCGGAAUUACUGGGCGUAAAGCGCGUGUAGGCGGCAACGCAAGUCGGGCGUGAAAUCCCACGGCUCAACCGUGGAAGUGCACUCGAAACUGCGUAGCUAGAGUCCUGGAGAGGAAGGUGGAAUGCUUGGUGUAGCGGUGAAAUGCGCAGAUAUCAGGAGGAACACCAAUUGCGAAGGCAGCUCGCUGGGACGUUACUGACGCUGAGACGCGAAAGCGUGGGGAGCAAACAGG
rnacentral:rRNA from 1 species